rnacentral:misc_RNA from 1 species
GAACUGCGAUAAGUAAUGUGAAUUGCAGAAUUCAGUGAAUCAUCGAGUCUUUGAACGCACAUUGCGCCCCCUGGCAUUCCGGGGGGCAUGCCUGUCCGAGCGUCAUUGCUGCCCUUCAAGCCCGGCUUGUGUGUUGGGUCGUCGUCCCCUCCGGGGGACGGGCCCGAAAGGCAGCGGCGGCACCGCGUCCGGUCCUCGAGCGUAUGGGGCUUUGUCACCCGCUCGAUAAGGUCCGGCCGGGCGCCAGCCGGCGUCUCCAACCUUUUUUUCUCAGGUUGACCUCGGAUCAGGUAGGGAUACCCGCUGAACUUAAGC